rnacentral:rRNA from 1 species
AGAGUUUGAUCAUGGCUCAGAUUGAACGCUGGCGGCAGGCCUAACACAUGCAAGUCGAACGGUAACAUUUCUAGCUUGCUAGAAGAUGACGAGUGGCGGACGGGUGAGUAAUGCUUGGGAACUUGCCUUUGCGAGGGGGAUAACAGUUGGAAACGACUGCUAAUACCGCAUAAUGUCUUCGGACCAAACGGGGCUUAGGCUCCGGCGCAAAGAGAGGCCCAAGUGAGAUUAGCUAGUUGGUAAGGUAACGGCUUACCAAGGCGACGAUCUCUAGCUGUUCUGAGAGGAAGAUCAGCCACACUGGGACUGAGACACGGCCCAGACUCCUACGGGAGGCAGCAGUGGGGAAUAUUGCACAAUGGGGGAAACCCUGAUGCAGCCAUGCCGCGUGUGUGAAGAAGGCCUUCGGGUUGUAAAGCACUUUCAGUUGUGAGGAAAAGUUAGUAGUUAAUACCUGCUAGCCGUGACGUUAACAACAGAAGAAGCACCGGCUAACUCCGUGCCAGCAGCCGCGGUAAUACGGAGGGUGCGAGCGUUAAUCGGAAUUACUGGGCGUAAAGCGCACGCAGGCGGUUUGUUAAGCUAGAUGUGAAAGCCCCGGGCUCAACCUGGGAUGGUCAUUUAGAACUGGCAGACUAGAGUCUUGGAGAGGGGAGUGGAAUUCCAGGUGUAGCGGUGAAAUGCGUAGAUAUCUGGAGGAACAUCAGUGGCGAAGGCGACUCCCUGGCCAAAGACUGACGCUCAUGUGCGAAAGUGUGGGUAGCGAACAGGAUUAGAUACCCUGGUAGUCCACACCG